GAGGUGAUGUGGGACCACUGGCCAAGGAAUGAAAACAGCCUCUAGAAGCGAAAAAAAAGACAGUUCCCCCGGAACCUCCCCACACUUUGACUUUAGCUCACUGAUUCUGACUUUGGACUUCCAAGAUCACGAAAUCUCCUGAGAACCUCUACUUUACGUCUUGUUUCUAUGAAUUUGCCCAUUCAAGAUAUUCCAUCUGUUUCCAUAGGCAGAUAAGUUGGAGAAGAAAGUCUAUUUUGCAUUGAAAGAGAAUGCAGCCUGGAGGGUAAGGAUCGUAGCCCUGAAGAUGGACUAUCCAGGGGACAAAUCUGGCUCUACCAUUUACUAGCCAUGUGACGUCAACAUUUCUGUGCCUUGGGUUCCCCAUCAAUAAAAGGCUAAUAGUAGUACCCAUCUCAUAGGCCGAUG